rnacentral:rRNA from 1 species
AUUGAACGCUGGCGGCAUGCCUUACACAUGCAAGUCGAACGGCAGCACGGGAGCAAUCCUGGUGGCGAGUGGCGAACGGGUGAGUAAUAUAUCGGAACGUGCCCAGUCGUGGGGAUAACGUAGCGAAAGCUACGCUAAUACCGCAUACGAUCUACGGAUGAAAGCGGGGGGAUCGCAAGACCUCGCGCGAUUGGAGCGGCCGAUAUCAGAUUAGGUAGUUGGUGAGGUAAAGGCUCACCAAGCCGACGAUCUGUAGCUGGUCUGAGAGGACGACCAGCCACACUGGGACUGAGACACGGCCCAGACUCCUACCGGGAGGCAGCAGUGGGGAAGUUUUGGUACAAUAGGGCGGCAAGCCUGAUCCAGCAAUGCCGCGUGCAGGAUGAAGGCC